UGCUUAUCGAGAAAGACCGAGGGAUGGGCCCUACGACGUCUUAGCAACCUGAAUACAAGGUGCUAAUUCCCCUUCCGGAAAUGCCGGAAAAAGAUGAGCG
rfam:Cecembia lonarensis LW9 contig000009, whole genome shotgun sequence.